UCCCGGUUGAUCCUGCCAGAGGCCACUGCUAUCGGGGUUUAACAAGCCAUGCGAGUCGAGAGGUUUCUGACCUCGGCGUACUGCUCAGUAACACGUGGACAAUCUGCCCUGGAGAGGAGGAUAUCCCCGGGAAACUGGGAUUAAUACUCCAUAGUUCGUCUUAACUGGAAUGUUAUUCGAACGAAAGAUCCGUCGCUCCAGGAUGAGUCUGCGGCCGAUUAGGUAGUUGUUGGGGUAACGGCCCAACAAGCCUUUCAUCGGUACGGGUUGUGGGAGCAAGAGCCCGGAGAUGGAUUCUGAGACACGAAUCCAGGCCCUACGGGGCGCAGCAGGCGCGAACUUUACCAUGCGGGCAACCGUGAUAAGGAAACCCCGAGUGCCAGCACAGGCUG
rnacentral:rRNA from 1 species